rnacentral:lncRNA from 1 species
CGCACUCUUAGGCUGCGUGUGAGGCCUGCGAGUGCUCGGGAGCUGCCGCGGUCACAAGAGAAAGCCUAGCUGUCAAUGACAGCCCCAGAGCAUCUGGGCGCCUUGCGAUACCCGGGUGUCUGUAGGCAGCCAGGAGACACUUCCAAGCUGAUCUGGAAUCUUUCCUCGCCCAGCUCUGUCCCUCGCAGGGAUGGCAAAGGACAUUACGACCUACAUCCCUUCCCGGAUCUGAUGGCUUCAGAUUGGCAGAUUGUGUUAAAGUGGAAGAUAUGAUGGCUGUAGAUCCAGAGUCUCGUGAAGAUGAGGUCAACUGACUGGACUGUGCUUCCUGUGGUGGGUGAAGAUGAAGUAUCUCUGCUGACAUAGCCAGAGGCGUGUUCUCUAACCCACUCUGUGGCAUUCAGUAUACAAACAUCUCCAUGACAAUGUUUUUGCAGGAAUGCAGUCAGAUCUGUGUUCAGCUGAGUCUGCUGGGAUCUACUCAAUAAUACUGAUCUAAUAGAAAAGAUACAAGAAAAAUAUUGUCUUGGAACAGAAAACAAAUUCGAGAAUUGCUUUUAUUCUCAGAUUAAUUUUGACCUCCAAAGUUGGCCAGAGCUUCUGUAACGUACCUGACAGUAAUUUCAGGCAGAACUGCCGGGUAUUUAAAGGGAAGAAUACAGGCCAGAGAAAACAUCGC